rnacentral:rRNA from 1 species
GACGAACGCUGGCGGCGUGCUUAACACAUGCAAGUCGAACGGAAAGGCCCUGCUUUUGUGGGGUGCUCGAGUGGCGAACGGGUGAGUAACACGUGAGUAACCUGCCCUUGACUUUGGGAUAACUUCAGGAAACUGGGGCUAAUACCGGAUAGGAGCUCCUGCUGCAUGGUGGGGGUUGGAAAGUUUCGGCGGUUGGGGAUGGACUCGCGGCUUAUCAGCUUGUUGGUGGGGUAGUGGCUUACCAAGGCUUUGACGGGUAACCGGCCUGAGAGGGUGACCGGCGACAUUGGGACUGAGGGACGGCCCAGACUCCUACGGGAGGCAGCAGUGGGGAAUAUUGCACAAUGGGCGGAAGCCUGAUGCAGCAACGCCGCGUGCGGGAUGACGGCCUUCGGGUUGUAAACCGCUUUCGCCUGUGACGAAGCGUGAGUGACGGUAAUGGGUAAAGAAGCACCGGCUAACUACGUG